rnacentral:rRNA from 1 species
UACGUAGGGGCCUAGCGUUGUCCGGAAUUAUUGGGCGUAAAGAGCUCGUAGGCGGUUCGGCAAGUCGGAUGUGAAAUCUCCACGCUUAACGUGGAGGGGCCAUUCGAAACUGCUGUGACUCGAGUCCGGUAGGGGAGUGUGGAAUUCCCGGUGUAGCGGUGAAAUGCGCAGAUAUCAGGAAGAACACCCGUGGCUAAGGCGGCUCUCUAGUACGGUACUGACGCUGAGACGCGAAAGCGUGGGGAGCGAACAGG